AGAGUCAAUAAGAGAUUGUCUUUACCUAUUGCUCAUGCUGAUAACAAUAAAAAACCAAGGUAUUUGGAUGAUCAAGAAUGUGAGGGUAGCGAAAGUGAGAGGAGUAAAAAUAAGAACUAUUCUAUAUUGCUCUCAGACUUGCCGGGUGAAUGGAACUAUGUUCAAAUCAAAGAAUAUGUGACAAAAGAAUGUGGAGUAAAUGUCUUGAAAAUAUUGGACAAAAGAAGUAACAAGAAUAACUAUCAAAUUCAGUUACGGUUCAACAGUGAAGAGCACUAUAAGAUUGCUCUUGACAAGCUAAAAACUAAAGAAAUCGAAGGAAAGUUAACAGUGGAAGUUGAUGAUGAAGAUCCGGAUAGUGACAAUUCGUCAGUGACGACAGUGCAAAUUGCUAAGUGUGAUACAAAUGAUGUGGAUUUUUGGGAGACAGACCCUGAAGGUCUAUAUGGUUUGAAGCUGGAGUACCUAAUGAGCUUAGAAAUUACUCCACCCCUUGUCAGAUGGAUCCAUGUUACCAAUUUUCGGUGUGACAAAUCCGAGCUGAGAGAUGUCUUCGAAAUGGCGGGUAGGAUUGUGUUUUGUACAGUUAUCCAUGCGGUGGAUAAAUAUGCUAAGAUAAUGUACAGCCACCCGCUUGAAGCUGUCCAGGCUGUAUCUAUGUUGAAUGGACAAGUUUUCUAUGGCCAAACAUUAAAAGUUAGAAUGGAUCCUUUCGCGGAAGCUAAUUUACUACUUCCAAAAGGUCUCCAAAAUGUAGGCCCAGGUCUCGGUAAAUCGGGGAAACCUGUGCGCGAUUUGUUCAGGGAAUUAAAACAGUACAUGAAAGAAAAACCUUCUAUGUUAAAUCCUUUAUUAUUUAGUUCACAAUUAUCACCUCAUGAUGCAAGAGUUGAUACAGCAACACCUGGAGAAAGAAUCCAAAAAGAAUCCGAAACCAGUUCUGGUGAACGUGAAAAUGAAAAUGAAAAGAAGGAAGACUCAGAAAGUUUAAAUGACCAUAAAAAUAUUUCUAAUGAAACAGAUAACCAAAGUAAUG